rnacentral:rRNA from 1 species
AAAUUGAAGAGUUUGAUCAUGGCUCCGGAUUGAACGCUGGCGGCAAGGCCUAACACAUGCAAGUCAGACGGUAACAGAAGAAACUUCUUUGCUGACGAGUGGCGGACGGGUGAGUAAUGUCUGAGGAAACUGCCUGAUGGAGGGAUAACUACUGGAAACGGUAGCUAAUACCGCAUAACGUCGCAAGACAAAGAGGGACCUUCGGGCCUCUUGCCAUCGGAUGUGCCCAGAUGGGAUUAGCUAGUAGGUGGGGUAAAGGCUCACCCUAGGCGACGAUCCCUGGUCUGAAGGAUGACCAACCACCUGGAACUGAGACACGGUCAGACUCCUACGGGAGGCAGCAGUGGGGAAUAUUGCACAAUGGGCAAACCUGAUGCAACCAUGCCGCGUGUAUGAAGAAGGCCUUCCGGGUUGUAAGGAAUACUUUCAGCGGGGAGGGAAAGGUAAAGUUAAUACCUUUGCUCGUGGCGGCUGCCAGAAGAAACACCAGCUAGCUCCGUGCCAGCAGCCACUUGUGUGUACAGGAGGAGUGCAAGCGUUAAUCGGAAUUACUGGGCGUAAAGCGCACGCAGGCGAUUUGUUAAGUCAGAUGAAAUCCCCAGGCUUCAACACGGGAACUGCAUCUGAUACUGGCAGAAGGUCUCGUAGAGGAUGAAUUCCAGUGCUUAGCGGUGAAAUGCGUAGGAUCUGGAGGAAUACCGGUGGCGAAGGCGGCCCCACGGACGAACUGACGCUCGGUGCGAAAGCGUGGGGAGCAAACAGGAUUAGAUACCACAGUAGUCCCACGCCGUAAACGAUGUCGACUUGGAGGUUGUGCCGCGAGGCGUGGCUUCCGGAGCCUAACGCGUUAAGUCGACCGCACGGGGAGUACGGCCGCAAAGGUUAAAACUCAAAUGAAUUGACGGGGGCCCGCACAGAAGCGGUGGAGCAUGUGGUUUAAUUCGAUGCAACGCGAAAGAACUACGGUGUGACAUCACAGAACUUUCAGAGAUGGAUUGGGUACCCUGGAACUGUAAGGACAGGUGCUGCGUAAAGUAUCGUCAGCUCGUGUUGUGAAAUGUUGGGUUAAAGUCGCAACAGGCGCAACCCUUAUCCUUUGUUGCCAGCGGUCCGGCCGGGAACUCAAAGGAGACUGCCAGUGAUAGAAGCUGGAGGAAGGUGGGGAUGACGUCAAGUCAUCGCCUUAAACGCCACGACCCGGGGCUACACGUGCUAUGGCAUACAAAGAAGAGAAGCGACGCACCUUACUCACGCGAGAACAAAGCGGACCCGGCCCUCAUAGAGGUGUCAUUGAUGAUGAUGUCCGUGGGUAGUUGAUGCAACUCAGCUCCAUAGAAGUCGGAAUCGCUAGUAAUGUGGAUCAGAAUGCCACGGUGACCCGUUCCCAGGCCUUGCCAUACCAUAGGAGUAAGGUUGCAAAAAUUAGGUAGCCCAACCUUCGGGAGGGCGCUUACCACUUUGUGAUUCAUGACUGGGGUGAAGUCAUGAGUAACCGUAGGGGAACCUGCGGUUGGAUCACCUCAUACCUUAAAGAAGC